AGCCAAGUGGUUAGGCGUUUGGCUGCUAACCAAAAAGUUGGCAGUUCAAAUCCACU
rnacentral:tRNA from 1 species